rnacentral:rRNA from 1 species
AGGAGUUUGAUCCUGGCUCAGGAUGAACGCUAGCGGCAGGCCUAAUACAUGCAAGUCGGACGGGAUUGGGGGCUUGCCCCCAUGAGAGUGGCGCACGGGUGCGUAACACGUAUGUAACCUACCCUUAUCUGGGGGAUAGCCUCUCGAAAGAGAGAUUAACACCGCAUAAAAUCACAGUACGGCAUUGUACAAUGAUCAAAUAUUUAUAGGAUAGGGAUGGGCAUGCGGGACAUUAGCUAGUUGGCGGGGUAACGGCCCACCAAGGCUACGAUGUUUAGGGGAUCUGAGAGGAUGGCCCCCCACACUGGUACUGAGACACGGACCAGACUCCUACGGGAGGCAGCAGUAAGGAAUAUUGGUCAAUGGAGGCAACUCUGAACCAGCCAUGCCGCGUGCAGGAAGACAGCCCUAUGGGUCGUAAACUGCUUUUAUACCGGAAUAAACCCCUUUACGUGUAAAGGGUUGAAUGUACGGUAGGAAUAAGGAUCGGCUAACUCCGUGCCAGCAGCCGCGGUAAUACGGAGGAUCCAAGCGUUAUCCGGAUUUAUUGGGUUUAAAGGGUGCGUAGGCGGCCUGUUAAGUCAGGGGUGAAAUUUUCCGGCUCAACCGGGACAUUGCCUUUGAUACUGACGGGCUUGAAUGCAGCUGAGGUAGGCGGAAUGUGACAAGUAGCGGUGAAAUGCAUAGAUAUGUCACAGAACACCAAUUGCGAAGGCAGGUUACCAAAGGUGAUUGACGCUGAGGCAACGAAAGGCGUGGGGGAUCAAACAGGGAUUAGAUACCCU